rnacentral:rRNA from 1 species
UGAGUACGAGAUGCUACGGCAUCGAAGCAGUCUAUGUCAUACUUCCAAGAAAAGCUUGCAAUGUCAUAAACAAAUAAUGCCUGUACCAUAACCGACACAGGUGGGUAGGUAGAGUAUACUAAGGGGCGCGAGAUAACUCUCUCUAAGGAACUCGGCAAAAUGACUCCGUAACUUCGGGAGAAGGAGUGCCUUAUUUUUAUAAGGUUGCAAUAACAAGAUCCAAGCAACUGUUUACCAAAAACACAGGUCUCCGCUAAGUCGUAAGACGAUGUAUGGGGGCUGACGCCUGCCCAGUGCCAGAAGGUUAAAGAAGUUGGUUAGCAUUAGCGAAGCUGAUAACUGAAGCCCUGGUGAACGGCGGCCGUAACGAUAACGGUCCUAAGGUAGCGAAAUUCCUUGUCGGGUAAGUUCCGACCCGCACGAAAGGCGUAAUGAUUUGGAUACUGUCUCGGAGAGGGGCUCGGUGAAAUAGACUUGUCUGUGAAGAUGCGGACUACCUGCACCUGGACAGAAAGACCCUAUGAAGCUUUACUGUAACUUGAGAUUGAAAUUGGACUUUAUCUGCGCAGUAUAGGUGGGAGACGUUGAAAAUAUUCUUGCGGGAAUAUUGGAGUCAUCAGUGAGAUACCACUCUUAUAAUGUUAGAUUUCUAACUUUGUAUCAUUAUCUGGUCAAAGAACAGUUUCAGGCGGGCAGUUUGACUGGGGCGGUCGCCUCCCAAACGGUAACGGAGGCGCACAAAGGUUUCCUCUGAACGUGUAGAAAUCGUAUCUAGAGUGUAAAGGCAUAAGGAAGCUUGACUGUGAGACCUACAAGUCGAGCAGGGACGAAAGUCGGUCUUAGUGAUCUGACGGUGCUGAGUGGAAAGGCCGUCACUCAACGGAUAAAAGUUACUCUAGGAUAACAGGCUGAUCUCCCCCAAGAGUUCACAUCGACGGGGAGGUUUGGCACCUCGAUGUCGGCUCAUCGCAUCCUGGGGCGGUAGUACGUCCCAAGGGUUGGGCUGUUCGCCCAUGAAAGCGGUACGCGAGCUGGGUUCAGAACGUCGUGAGACAGUUCGGUCCAUAUCCGGUGUAGGCGUUAGAAUAUUGAGAGGAGCCUUCUUUAGUACGAGAGGACCGAGAAGGACAUACCUCUGGUGUACCAGUUAUCGUGCCAACGGUAAACGCUGGGUAGCCAUGUAUGGAGAGGAUAACCGCUGAAAGCAUCUAAGUGGGAAGCCCACC